rnacentral:tRNA from 7 species
GCAGCGGUAGUUCAGUUGGUUAGAAUGCCGGCCUGUCACGCCGGAGGUCGCGGGUUCGAGUCCCGUCCGCUGCGCCA